rnacentral:misc_RNA from 1 species
CGCUGUAGUUUAUAACUUCCAGUAAUCAUCUGUUCUCACGCUGAGGUGUGACGGUGGGAUUUACCCUCGUCCGAUCAAUCGCAUCCUGACCAUCCACAGGAAACGGGACCCACCCACGUGGAAAAAGUUUGGGCCAUCGGUAAAGCACCAGCCGGCUAUAAAUGAACACGCCUGCCUGUUAUUAAACCUGCCAAUAUUUUCAGUUUUCACCAACCGUUCAACGUUCCUCCCGCUUCACCGGAAAACCGAUUAUGACGCGCCUAGCCACCGGCGUAAUUCUCCUUCUUUUUGCUAUAUGCGGUCUCUCCGUCGGUAGCAGAGACAUCGUCGAAGACGUUAUCCGGUUGCCAUCGGAAGCGUCUAGCUUCUUCCGUCCUGGUGGUGCUCAUGUUGCUGAAGAUGACGACUCCACUGGGACGAGAUGGGCAAUUCUUAUUGCCGGAUCUAGCGGGUACUGGAAUUACAGGCACCAGGCUGAUGUUUGCCAUGCUUAUCAACUCUUGAGGAAAGGUGGACUGAAGGAGGAAAAUAUCGUGGUUUUCAUGUAUGAUGACAUUGCUUAUAAUGAAGAAAACCCAAGGCCUGGGAUCAUCAUUAACAAUCCACAUGGCGAGGAUGUUUAUAAGGGUGUUCCAAAGGAUUACACUGGUGAAGAUGUUACUGUCAACAAUUUUUUUUCUGCUAUCCUUGGAAACAAAACGGCUCUUACUGGUGGUAGUGGGAAAGUUGUGGAUAGUGGUCCUAAUGAUCAUAUUUUCAUUUACUACAGCGAUCAUGGGGGUCCUGGGGUGCUAGGGAUGCCUACCAAUCCAUACCUUUAUGCUGAUGAUCUGAUUGAUGUCUUAAAAAAGAAGCAUGCUUCGGGGACCUAUAAAAGCUUGGUGUUCUAUCUUGAAGCUUGUGAAUCAGGGAGCAUCUUUGAGGGCCUUCUUCCUGACGGUUUGAAUAUUUAUGCAACCACAGCAGCUAAUGCAAUAGAGAGUAGCUGGGGCACCUACUGCCCUGGAGAUUAUCCUAGUCCUCCCCCAGAAUAUGAAACCUGUUUGGGAGACUUGUAUAGUGUUGCUUGGAUGGAGGACAGUGACAUACACAAUUUACAGACAGAAACUUUAUACCAACAAUAUCAACUGGUUAAAAGGAGAACUGCGAAUGACAAUUCUGCAUAUGGCUCUCAUGUCAUGCAAUAUGGUGAUACAGGACUUAGCACAAAUAAUCUCUUCCUGUAUAUGGGUACAAAUCCUGCAAAUGAUAACUAUACUUUUGUGGAUGAAAACUCUUUGAGACCUCCUUCAAAAGCUGUUAACCAGCGUGAUGCUGAUCUCGUCCAUUUCUGGCAUAAGGUAUUUGUUCUACCUCUUCAUUCGAUAUAAAAUUGAAAUAUUGCCUUUUUAAUGUUGUGAAUAAUUGAUUUGUGGAUGAAAGGAUGAAUUUACUUAUGCGAAAAAACCAUUAUUUUUUAUGGUGAAGGUUGGUGCAAUGAGAAUGAAGAUUAUGAUUAAAUUUGUUAAAAUUGUCAGAAUUGGAACACAUUUAAUGAUAGCAGAAAAAGUUUUUAGGGAGUUUGUAAAAUCACUUCCUGGGUAGCAUACUAGGUGUUCGGUGCACAAAGUCCUUAUACGUGGGUGGGGAAAUGCUAGGCUGGUAGAUAGAAAACAGAAGGUAGGAAGAAGAUUAAUAUGAAACUUAUUGUAGGAACUGGGAAGUCAUGCAUCAGUUGCAACACCAUGGAGAUGAUCCCAUCUUCAGUACCCUACCGUUUUGAGAGCAACCAACUCUUCUGCUUUUAUUCAAUCUGACCAUAGCUGCCAUCUAUAUUUUCUGCAGUACCGCAAGGCCCCUGAUGGCUCUACUAGAAAGGUUAAAGCUCAGAAGCAGUUUGUUGAAGCAAUGUCUCAUAGGAUGCAUAUAGACAACAGCAUGAAACUUGUUGGGAAGCUCCUAUUUGGAAUUGAAAAAGCCUCAGAGGUGUUGAACGCAAUUCGUCCUGCUGGAAAACCUCUUGUUGAUGAUUGGAUGUGCCUCAAAACACUGGUGAGGACAUUUGAGACACAUUGUGGAUCCCUGUCCCAGUACGGAAUGAAGCACAUGCGGUCUAUUGCAAACCUCUGCAAUGCUGGAAUUGGAGAGGAACAGAUGGCCGAAGCAUCAGCACAAGCUUGUGUGAGCUUUCCAUCUGGUCCAUGGAGCUCCCUUAACAAGGGUUUCAGCGCAUAAUUGAAGAAUAUCCAUAUAUUUAAAGGAUAUACCAUUCAAUUAUAUUAUCUACCGUUACAAGUUUGCUGUAUUGUGAUUAUUGUCCUUGCCAUUGCUUCUGUGUAAAUAUAAUUAGAAGCAGAUCUCUACCUGAAUGCCAUUGUAAUUAACACGUUUCAUAUUUAAGAAUGCAUGAAAAUUUGGCUUAUCGUGGCAUGAUUGAAUCAUAACUGUUGAGAUUAAUGCCAUUUCGUAAGCAAAAGCCAUAUUGCCA